rnacentral:rRNA from 1 species
CACGUAGUUAGCCGGAGCUUGCUUUUCAGGUACUGUCAUUUGUUUCAUCCCUGAUCACUUAGGUUUACAACCCGAAGGCCGUCUCCCCUCACGCGGCGUUGCUGGUUCAGGGUUUCCCCCAUUGACCAAUAUCCCCCACUGCUGCCUCCCGUAGGAGUCUGGGCCGUGUCUCAGUCCCAAUGCGGCCGAUCAACCUCUCAGUUCGGCUACCGAUCGUCGCCUUGGUAGGCCGUUACCCCACCAACUAGCUAAUCGGACGCGAGGCCAUCCUUCAGCGGAUUGCUCCUUUGAUAUCGGGACGAUGCCAUCCCAAUAUGUUAUGCGGUAUUAGCGCCCGUUUCCGGUCGUUAUUCCCCACUCAAGGGCAGGUUCCUCACGCGUUACUCGCCCGUCCGCCACUAACUCGGAGGAGCAAGCUCCUCCUCGUCCGUUCGACUUGCAUGUGUUAGGCACGCCGCCAGCGUUCGUCCUGAGCCAGGACGUCAACUACU